rnacentral:misc_RNA from 1 species
GCCAUUCCAUUUUCUGUGAUAUAAAUAGGAGGAUUAUUGUAAUUCUUCUUCACAUGUAAUAGAAGCUUUCGCAGUCCCUUUGGAUAGAUGUAAAGCCAACUCAAAGCAGUCGGUGUGCCAACGGGAACUCCAUUCUUUUCAGCUGAGAUGAAAAAAUAAUGCAUAAAUAGAAUUAGUAAUAGUUGGAUUAAAAUUCAUUCUUCAAAAGUAAAUAAUCAAG